GCCUCAUCUUUAAAAUGGAACCAUCAAUUCCUGCUGCCUUAUGGAGCUCCUGGUUCUGGGGGCCUCCAUACAGUGCCAAUGCUGAUGUCCAGUAGUGCUAGGCAAAAAGGAUAGGACAAGGCCUGUGGGGUCCACCUCAAGAGACCUGGGAUGGGGAAGCAGCUGUUGGGGACUCUGCCAAGUUGCCUGGAAGACUGCACAGCUCUAGACCUGUUUCCAGCCAUUGGGUGGGUGCCAGACCUGACCCAGAGGCCUCAGGAAAUGCCUCUCGUGGCUGGGCCCUGAGCCACACUUUCACUGGGAUCUGGGGGCCUGGAAACAGGCACUUCCCCCCUCCCCACACCUACCAAGUGAAGAUGUGAGUAGCAUCAGCUUCAGCCUCCACUGCCAAGAGCAAACCAAAGCACCCGUCCUGUACUGGGCUGGGAAACAUGGUACAGCGGGACCUAGUGGCAGGAACAUAGCUUUGCUGAUUGCCUGGGGUUCAAAUCCUGUAUGUUCCUAUUGACCUUGGUGAGUGACAACCUCCCAGAGCCCUAAUUUCCUCUACUGUGCAAUGGGGAUGAGCAUGAUGCCUUGUAGACAAUGAUGACGACCGUGAUAUUCACAAGUUCAUGGCAUGAGCUGAGCACACAGUAGGUGCUUAGGAAAUAGUACCUACUGUGACCUACCCCACAUGCUCAAGGCAGUGGGCCUGCCUGCUGCACACUGGACUCCUCCCACCUUCUGACUGGGCUGCAGGUGGGCAACUAAUGUGCAACUACCCCAUGGCCUAGCCUGCAGUCCCCUUUCCAGCCCGGAGCUACUAAGGAAGCUUGCCUACAGGCCCUGGGAGGUUUUCCAGGAUGCCCACCUCUCUGAGUGGAUUAAUUGGGAAUAACUGGAAGCAAGCAGAAGACCCAGCAACUGGGGAGCUGGUUAAAUACUUUUCUGGCAUGGGAAGUGUUGCAGGGCCAACGGGUCAGUUAAAAAAAUAAGUCAGAAAAUCAAUGGUUUGGUGUGAUUAUACCCUAUGGUUCCAUGUGCCAACUCUUGAGGGCACUCAAAGUCUGGGAGCAUAGGAUGGGGCUGCAAAAAUGAAAGUGGAGUAUGUGGACGGAGUGAAUGAAUGCACAGAUUGCCCAAAGUCCAAGUGGGAAGUAAUGCACUGCCUCUCAAAUUCAGUGUGCAGGGCAUACUGGUUAAUUUCUAUCCACCACGCCAAGAUCUAACCAGCGUGUCUCAGCCCAGGCUAUACACUGGAACCCGAUGGCUGGGUUGCCCUGGUCUAAUUGCAUGGUGAUCUCUGAAGGAGGGUCUGGCACCAGUAUUUUGGAAGCUCUCCCGAGGUCCAAGGAGCAUCAGUAUG
rnacentral:lncRNA from 1 species